rnacentral:rRNA from 1 species
AUGAACGCUGGCGGCGUGCCUAAUCCCUGCAAGUCGCGCGAACAGACGAGGAGCUUGCUCCUCUGACGUUAGCGGCGGACGGGUGAGUAACACGUGGAUAACCUACCUAUAAGACUGGGAUAACUUCGGGAAACCGGAGCUAAUACCGGAUAAUAUAUUGAACCGCAUGGUUCAAUAGUGAAAGACGGUUUUGCUGUCACUUAUAGAUGGAUCCGCGCCGCAUUAGCUAGUUGGUAAGGUAACGGCUUACCAAGGCGACGAUGCGUAGCCGACCUGAGAGGGUGAUCGGCCACACUGGAACUGAGACACGGUCCAGACUCCUACGGGAGGCAGCAGUAGGGAAUCCUCCGCAAUGGGCGAAAGCCUGACGGAGCAACGCCGCGUGAGUGAUGAAGGUCUUCGGAUCGUAAAACUCUGUUAUUAGGGAAGAACAAAUGUGUAAGUAACUAUGCACGUCUUGACGGUACCUAAUCAGAAAGCCACGGCUAACUACGUG